rnacentral:rRNA from 1 species
CCGCCCGUCACAUCACGAAAGUUUGCUGCUCUUGAAGUCGCCGCGCUAACCGCAAGGAGGCAGGCGCCGACGGAGUGGCAAGCGAGUUGGGGUG